rnacentral:rRNA from 1 species
CUUAAAUUUUGGUUUAUAUCAUUAUUUAAAAUAAUAUUAUAUGAGUAAAAGAAUUGAACUUUAUCCACAAAAAAGUACUGAGAAGGAAAGUCUUGUCAAUUUUAAAGAAUUUAUUUAUUAUACCUUUUGUAUCAGGGUUUAUUCAAUUUUGACCACUAUUGUCAAGUCCCGAAAUAAGGUGAUUUAUGUUAAUUAAAGAUGAUUGUUUCAUAACUCUCUUAAAGAUUAACAUCGGUGUAAAAAAUAUUUCGUACCUAUAUAUCUGGUUGGCAGAAGACUCCUUUAGGGUACUCCGGAAGGAAGAUUUUCUAGGGGACGAGCUCUAGAAAAAAUUAUAUCAAAUUAUUACCAGCGAUAUGAAUAGGCUUAAAAGUUGCCAGGGUGUAAUAACCAGGGUCGUUUAAAUAAUAAUUUAAAGUUGAUUAAUUGAAUCUAGCCGAUGCUUAUUAUUAACAUUGAGCAGUCAUAAUGAUAAAAUUAGUAUAUGUAUAAAAAUGCAAUAGAAUCUAUUCCAAAAAUUUGGAAGGAAUUCGGCAAAACUUGCCUCCGCCUGUUAACAAAA